UAGAAAUAUCCCUUCCUUGCUGACUCAAUUGUGGUGGAACAGGUUCAUGGAUCAUAACAAGGCCAAGGGUAGAAACAAUUUAAGAAAAAUAUCCUGCACUCCAGCUUAUUACAGAGGUAAAAGCUGAAUUUUAAAGAGUAAACUACAAGUUGAUCCAUGAUAUGGUUGGCAAAUUUCAAUCCAUUGAUCCAGAAAAAUAUUUUGGACUAUGCCAAGAAAUGUAACAAGAAAACUACAUUUGUUCUUAUAAACAGAGUGGAGAGAGCAAUUGUUGGGAAAUCAGACAUCAAGAGCACAGUUGCUUAGAUUUUGAAGGAACUAUUGAAGGAGAAUGCAGGAGAAUCUCAGUCUCUCUUCUUUAAGAUUUGUUCUGUUGUUGAUUCCAUAGAUCAGGAUAAUUGGUUCAGAAGACCUUUCAGAUGUUCAAACUUUGAUGAUUGCGGUGGAGGGGCAAAUGUUAACUUAUUCAAGAACAGACUCAACCUUAUUUUAUCUACUAAACAUGGAGUACAUUGCUGGUGUGGCAAAUGGAAACUGCUCUCGUCAGGAAGCCUUAGCCUUAGGACAAAAACUUUUAAAGGACGUUAAGUACCCUAGACAUUUUAUACACUCUUGUACAUAGAUUUUCCUGUCACAACAUAUGUAGAAAUAAA